rnacentral:misc_RNA from 1 species
GAUGAAGAACGUAGCGAAACGCGAUAUGUAAUGUGAAUUGCAGAAUUCAGUGAAUCAUCGAAUCUUUGAACGCACAUGGCGCCUUCCAGUAUCCUGGGAGGCAUGCCUGUCCGAGCGUCGUUUCAACCCUCGAGCCCCCGUGGCCCGGCGUUGGGGAUCUGCCACGGCAGGCCCCUAAAACCAGUGGCGGACCCGAAGGCCCUCUCCUUUGCGCAGUAGCAUCAGCCUCGCAUUGGGAUCCCUCGGCGUCCUGCCUCUAAACCCCCCACAAGUCCGCUCCGGCGGCACCAAGGUUGACCUCGGAUCAGGUAGGGAUACCCGCUGAACUUAAGCAUAUCAAUAAGCGGAGGA